AUUGACCGCUGGCGGCAGUCCUAACACAUGCAAGUCGAGCGAGCGGCGGACGCGUGUGUAAUGUAUGGGGCUCUCCCCGCUAUAGGGGGAUAACUACUGGACACGGUAGCUAAUACCCCAUACUCUCUGAUGCACCCAUAGGGGAUUAUCUAGUAGUUGAGGUAAUGUCUCACCUAUGCGACGAUCCCUAGCUCGGCUGAGAGGAUGAUCAGCGACACUGGAACUGAGCCCCGGCCCAGGUUCCUGCGGGAGGCAGCAGUGGGGAAUAUGGCACAAUGGGCGCAAGCCUUAUGCAGACAUGCCGAGUGUGUGAAGAAGGCCUUCGGGUUGUAAAGAACUUUCAGCGGGGAGGCGUUACCGACAGAAGAAGCACCGGCUAACUCCGUGCCAGCAGCCGCGGUAAUUC
rnacentral:rRNA from 1 species